rnacentral:rRNA from 1 species
AACGCGAAGAACCUUACCUACUCUUGACAUCCACGGAAUUCGGCAGAGAUGGCUUAGUGCCUUCGGGAACCGUGAGGCAGGUGCUGCAUGGCUGUCGUCAGCUCGUGUUGUGAAAUGUUGGGUUAAGUCCCGCAACGAGCGCAACCCUUAUCCUUUGUUGCCAGCGAUUCGGUCGGGAACUCAAAGGAGACUGCCGGUGAUAAACCGGAGGAAGGUGGGGAUGACGUCAAGUCAUCAUGGCCCUUACGAGUAGGGCUACACACGUGCUACAAUGGCGCAUACAAAGAGAAGCGACCUCGCGAGAGCAAGCGGACCUCACAAAGUGCGUCGUAGUCCGGAUCGGAGUCUGCAACUCGACUCCGUGAAGUCGGAAUCGCUAGUAAUCGUGGAUCAGAAUGCCACGGUGAAUACGUUCCCGGGCCUUGUACACACCGA